rnacentral:rRNA from 1 species
CCAAUAGCGUCUAUUAAAGUUGCUGCGGUUAAAAAGCUCGUAGUUGAAUUUCGGAAUUGAUGCAUCGGUCUGCCUUAAGGGGCAUGAACUGGUGUAGCCAAUUUCUCACCUUCUGGUGAAUUGUUGAUGUUCUUAAUGGGCGUCUCAAUGAACUAGAAUUUUUACUUUGAAAAAAUUAGAGUGUUUAAAGCAGGCAUUAAUUUGCUUGAAUACAUUAGCAUGGAAUAAUGAAAUAGGACAGUGGUUCCGUUUUGUUGGUUUCUAGGAUCACGUAAUGAUUAAUAGGGACAGUUGGGGGCAUUAGUAUUCAAUUGUCAGAGGUGAAAUUCUUGGAUUUAUUGAAGACUAACUAUUGCGAAAGCAUUUGCCAAGGAUGUUUUCAUUAAUCAAGAACGAAAGUUAGGGGAUCAAAGACGAUUAAGUACGUCGUAGUCCUAACCAUAAACUAUACCGACUAGGAAUCAGACGAUGUUAAUUUUUUAAUGACUCGUUUGGUACCUUACG